GACGAACGCUGGCGGCGUGCCUAAUACAUGCAAGUUGAGCGCUGAAGGUUGGUACUUGUACCAACUGGAUGAGCAGCGAACGGGUGAGUAACGCGUGGGGAAUCUGCCUUUGAGCGGGGGACGAACAUUUGGUAACGAAUGCUAAUACCGCAUAAAAACUUUAAAACACAAGUUUUAAGUUUUAGUAAAGAAUGCAAUUGCAUCACUCAAAGAAUGAUCCCGCGUUGUAUUAGCUAGUUGGUGAGGUAAAGGACUCACCAAGGCGAUGAUACAUAGCCGACCUGAGAGGGU
rnacentral:rRNA from 1 species